rnacentral:rRNA from 1 species
UAGCGUAGGGGGCUAGCGUUGUCCGGAUUUAUUGGGCGUAAAGAGCGUGUAGGCGGCCAUUUAGGUCCGGUGUGAAAACUCGAGGCUUAACCUCGAGAUGUCAUCGGAAACCAUUUGGCUAGAGUCCGGAAGAGGAGAGUGGAAUUCCCUGGUGUAGCGGUGAAAUGCGCAGAUAUCAGGAAGAACACCAAUGGCGAAAGCAGCUCUCUGGGGACGGUACUGACGCUGAGACGCGAAAGCGUGGGGGAGCGAACAGG